CCUACGGGUGGCUGCAGUGGGGAAUAUUGGACAAUGGGGGGAACCCUGAUCCAGCCAUGCCGCGUGUGUGAAGAAGGCCCUCGGGUUGUAAAGCACUUUCAGUGAGGAAGAACGCCUGGUGGUUAAUACCCAUCAGGAAAGACAUCACUCACAGAAGAAGCACCGGCUAACUCCGUACCAGCAGCCGCGGUAAUACGGAGGGUGCGAGCGUUAAUCGGAAUUACUGGGCGUAAAGCGCGCGUAGGUGGCUUGAUAAGCCGGUUGUGAAAGCCCCGGGCUCAACCUGGGAACGGCAUCCGGAACUGUCAAGCUAGAGUGCAGGAGAGGAAGGUAGAAUUCCCGGUGUAGCGGUGAAAUGCGUAGAGAUCGGGAGGAAUACCAGUGGCGAAGGCGGCCUUCUGGACUGACACUGACACUGAGGUGCGAAAGCGUGGGUAGCAAACAGGAUUAGAUACCCUGGUAGUC
rnacentral:rRNA from 1 species